UAUAUUAUUUUAUCUCUAUAAAUAGUCGACAAUUGUAUAAAUGUUUCACUUCACUAUACUCUUAACUGAUCAAGGAUGAAAACCAAGACUUUUAUUUUCUUGUUAUUUCUUUGUGCUGAAAUUCUUAUCUUUAUUGUGGCAAUUAAGCAAUCCAAUGAUGAAAAACAACUUGGCGCAACAAAAGAAUCCAAAACCAAAUUUGCAAUAGAUCAUUGGAAAAGGACUAGUUGGAGAAGCACGUUUCCAAAAAAAGAUGUUAAAGGAGGGAAAAAAAUUGAACAAAACCCAGUAGAAUCAGGUUCAGGAGGAAAUGGCGAUGAAGGAAGUGCACAAGGCGAAGCUAUACAAAAUGGAGGUGAAAAAGAAAUAUGAAGUAGACUUGAUAGAGGAGGAAGAGGAAAAAAAUAAUAAAAAAUCUUAGGCAGGUUGGGGAUAUUGGAGAGGCGGCGUAGGUAGCAAACAAUUGUGGGUGUGUGGUGUAAGACACAUAAUUUAAUUAUUGUGAACACUUCGGUACACAUUUUAUUUAGAUAUGUAUCAGUAUAUCGUAGAGGUGUAUACUACCAGAAAAAGUUAAUAAACACCUCAGUAUCAUCAGAUAGGUCUAAAAAUUAAUAAACACUCUUUGUCAA